UAAGACAGAGGGGGCAAGCGUUGUCCGGAUUUACUGGGCGUACAGCGCGCGCAGGCGGUCGUGUAGGUACCUGGUGACAGUCUCGGGCUCAACUCGAGGGGGUCUGGGUAGACCGCACGACUGGAGGCAGGGAGAGGGAUGUGGAAUACCCGGUGGAGCGGUGAAAUGCGUAGAGAUCGGGUGGAACACCAGUGGCGAAGGCGGCAUCCUGGCCCUGACCUGACGCUGAGGCGCGAGAGCGUGGGGAGCAAACGGGAUUAGAUACCCCGGUAGUCCACGCCGUAAACGAUGUGGAGCCGGUGUCGGUGCGUGAUUGCGCGCAGCGGUGCCCAAGCUUACGCGAUGACUCCACCGCCUGGGAACUACGGCCGCAAGGCUA
rnacentral:rRNA from 1 species